AGAGUUUGAUCCUGGCUCAGAUUGAACGCUGGCGGAAUGCUUUACACAUGCAAGUCGAGCGGCAGCGCGGGGGCAACCCUGGCGGCGAGCGGCGAACGGGUGAGUAACGCAUCGGAACGUGCCCAGUAAUGGGGGUUAACUAACCGAAAGGUUAGCUAAUACCGCAUACGCCCUGAGGGGGAAAGCGGGGGAUCGCAAGACCUCGCGUUAUUGGAGCGGCCGAUGCCGGAUUAGCUAGUUGGUGGGGUAAAGGCUCACCAAGGCGACGAUCCGUAGCUGGUCUGAGAGGAUGAUCAGCCACACUGGAACUGAGACACGGUCCAGACUCCUACGGGAGGCAGCAGUGGGGAAUUUUGGACAAUGGGGGAAACCCUGAUCCAGCCAUUCC
rnacentral:rRNA from 1 species